CACCCGUUCCCAUCCCGAACACGGUAGUUAAGCUCAAACGUGCCGAAAAUACUCGGAGGGCAGCCUCCCGGAAAAAUAGGUAAUGCCGACAUU
rnacentral:rRNA from 1 species